rnacentral:rRNA from 1 species
GACGAACGCUGGCGGCGUGCUUAACACAUGCAAGUCGAACGAGGGCCCGGAGCUUGCUCUGGUGACCCGAGUGGCGGGCGGGUGAGUAACACGUGACCAACCUACCUUCGGGAGGGGGACAACCUGGGGAAACCCGGGCUAAUACCGCAUAUCGUCCACGGGCCGCAUGGCCUGUGGAUAAAAGGGAGCCUCUGCUUGCAUGCUCUCACCCGAAGAGGGGGUCGCGGCGUAUCAGCUAGUUGGUGGGGUAAUGGCCUACCAAGGCAUCGACGCGUAGCGGGUCUGAGAGGACGACCCGUCACAUUGGGACUGAGAUACGGCCCAGACUCCUACGGGAGGCAGCAGUGGGGAAUAUUGCGCAAUGGCCGAAAGGUUGACGCAGCGACGCCGCGUGUGGGAGGACGCCCUUCGGGGUGUAAACCACUGUCAGGGGGGAAGAACCUCGCAGGCAUGAAUAGUGCUUGCGGUUGACGGUACCCCCAGAGGAAGCGCCGGCUAACUCCGUGCCAGCAGCCGCGGUAAGACGGAGGGCGCAAGCGUUGUUCGGAAUUACUGGGCGUAAAGGGCAGGUAGGUGGUCUGUUAAGUCUUCUGUGAAAAUCCGGGGCUCAAC